rnacentral:rRNA from 1 species
CAGCCUAACACAUGCAAGUCGAACGGUAACAGGAAGCAGCUUGCUGCUUUGCUGACGAGUGGCGGACGGGUGAGUAAUGUCUGGGAAACUGCCUGAUGGAGGGGGAUAACUACUGGAAACGGUAGCUAAUACCGCAUAACGUCGCAAGACCAAAGAGGGGGACCUUCGGGCCUCUUGCCAUCGGAUGUGCCCAGAUGGGAUUAGCUAGUAGGUGGGGUAACGGCUCACCUAGGCGACGAUCCCUAGCUGGUCUGAGAGGAUGACCAGCCACACUGGAACUGAGACACGGUCCAGACUCCUACGGGAGGCAGCAGUGGGGAAUAUUGCACAAUGGGCGCAAGCCUGAUGCAGCCAUGCCGCGUGUAUGAAGAAGGCCUUCGGGUUGUAAAGUACUUUCAGCGGGGAGGAAGGUGUUGAGGUUAAUAACCUCAGCAAUUGACGUUACCCGCAGAAGAAGCACCGGCUAACUCCGUGCCAGCAGCCGCGGUAAUACGGAGGGUGCAAGCGUUAAUCGGAAUCACUGGGCGUAAAGCGCACGCAG